rnacentral:rRNA from 1 species
GACGUAGGAUGCAAGCGUUGUCCGGAUUUAUUGGGCGUAAAGAGUUCGUAGGUGGUUUGUUAAGUCUGAUGUUAAAGACUGGGGCUCAACCUCGGGACUGCAUUGGAUACUGGCAGACUUGAGUGCGGUAGAGGCAAGUGGAAUUCCAGGUGUAGCGGUGAAAUGCGUAGAUAUCUGGAAGAACACCGGUGGUGUAGACGGCUUUCUGGACCAUAACUGACGCUGAGGCACGAAAGCGUGGGUAGCAAACAGG